rnacentral:rRNA from 1 species
UUGAACGCUGGCUGCAUGCCUUACACAUGCAAGUCGAACGGCAGCACGUGGGCAACCCUGGUGGCGAGUGGCGAACGGGUGAGUAACAUAUUGGAACGUGCCCUGGAGUGGGGGAUAACUAGUCGAAAGAUUAGCUAAUACCGCAUACGAUCUACGGAUGAAAGUGGGGGAUCGCAAGACCUCAUGCUCGUGGAGCGGCCGAUAUCUGAUUAGCUAGUUGGUGGGGUAAAGGCCUACCAAGGCAUCGAUCAGUAGCUGGUCUGAGAGGACUACCAGCCACACUGGGACUGAGACACGGCCCAGACUCCUACGGGAGGCAGCAGUGGGGAAUUUUGGACAAUGGGCGCAAGCCUGAUCCAGCAAUGCCGCGUGAGUGAAGAAGGCCUUCGGGUUGUAAAGCUCUUUUGUCAGGGAAGAAACGGCGGGGGCUAAUAUCCCUUGCUAAUGACGGUACCUGAAGAAUAAGCACCGGCUAACUACGU